GUGUUUCCGGUGAUGCGUAUUUUGAAUGAGAAACGCGCGCCUUGAGGGAGUGGAUCGACAUAGUAUUUUCAGCGUUUAACAACUUAAAUUAUGCCCUGCUCCUCGCACUACUAUUAUAUUCUGCCAGAGUGGACUGCAACUGCAAUGCAUCGUCGUUUGGAUUACUGUGAGGCCAAAACCAGCCGGUUGUGAAUGUGAUGAUGGGCCAAACCUUCAUCACAGCUCAGAAUCAUGGGGCAUUAUGCAUCGUACCAAGCCAGUGUUCACAGCACAGUUCCACCCCGAGGCCAAGGGAGGACCCACAGACACAGAGGUCCUGCAGCACUGUCAAAGGAUUGUGAAGAGUCUGAUCUUUUUAUUUUUCAUGGCUGAAUGUUCUCUCUUGAUCAUGUUGUGUUGAACCCUCUGUAGAGAU